GACGAACGCUGGCGGCGUGCUUAACACAUGCAAGUCGAACGGAAAGGCCCUGCUUUUGUGGGGUGCUCGAGUGGCGAACGGGUGAGUAACACGUGAGUAACCUGCCCUUGACUUUGGGAUAACUUCAGGAAACUGGGGCUAAUACCGGAUAGGAGCUCCUGCUGCAUGGUGGGGGUUGGAAAGUUUCGGCGGUUGGGGAUGGACUCGCGGCUUAUCAGCUUGUUGGUGGGGUAGUGGCUUACCAAGGCUUUGACGGGUAGCCGGCCUGAGAGGGUGACCGGCCACAUUGGGACUGAGAUACGGCCCAGACCCCUACGGGAGGCAGCAGUGGGGAAUAUUGCACAAUGGGCGGAAGCCUGAUGCAGCAACGCCGCGUGCGGGAUGACGGCCUUCGGGUGGUAAACCGCUUUCGCCUGUGACGAAGCGUGAGUGACGGGAAUGGGUAAAGAAACACCGGCUAACUACGU
rnacentral:rRNA from 1 species